AGUUGCUACUUGGAGCAGAAGAAGAAGGACUGUAGGAGCAGCAGGGCCAAGGAUGGUUUGCUAGCAGAGACUAGGGGAGCAUUGAGGAAGCUCCUGGCUGGUUGCAAAGACUGAGUGGGGACUGAGCCUGGGGAGGGCUGCCGGAAGAUAGUGUCUCCAGGGAGAAAGGCCUGGGGAUACAGCCCCAUACCAGGGGUGGACUACUACCACCAAAGGGAUGCUGAGAUAGGCCCUGGUGGACUGUAUAACCUAGAAGGGGUUUGUGCUGGUUAACAGGAAGACAGUGUAACUUGGCCGGAGUACUGUGUCACUGACAAACCCAACUGAGGACCAUCGAAAGGGGUCACCAGAACUAAAGAAUGCAGACAUGCCCAACCAGAAGGGGGCACUCAUGAGAGAGAAUCCAGAAUGGUAGUUUUCAGAAACCCUUCCUUCAUUACUGCUUCUUCACUGGAAACAGGCUGCACCUGGAGGAGAAGCCAGGCAGAUGGGAAUUGACUGGAAGGAGGCUCAACUGGACAGGAACAGGAGGAACAUCAUACCCCUACUCCUGAAUGCAUGUUUGGUUGUAUUUGUUACUGAGCAGCUGUAUGGGUGUACACAGGAUUCCAAGAAGAGGGAAGCCAAAGCCAAACUAACAACAACAAAUGCCCCCUUUAGGAAGGCCUCCAAGCCAAGCCUUGCUAGCAGAGUUCUUAGUUCCCCUAUCGUUCUAGGAGGUAAACUGGCUUUCUCCCUUUCCCUUAGUCAUCGGGGUUAGGGGAGAAGCCAUUUAACCCAGUUCAUAAAGCCUUUACCUCAAAGCCUUCAAUCAGAGCAACCCAACUUAUACACAGAAAAAUAAAGCAUCUUGUGCUCAGGUCAGGCUAGUGGUCUGGGGCCUGUAACAGCCAGCGUUGUUCCUAGCCCCAGCAUUGUUCUCUCUUGCUCAGCUUCCUUUUCUUGUUCAUAUAGCCCAGCCCCAAGGACAGGGCAAGGUGUUCUUUGACUUUUUCCCCUUUUUUGUCUUGGUUGUAAGUAUCAGACUAUCCCUUAAAGAGGUAGUACGCCCCAACACAGGAUAUUUAAAAAUCCCUUGGGUUUGGUGUCAUGUGGUUUAGAGUGCUUUAGCACCCAGACACAAUGGUCACUGGUACACUAGAAAUAUAUCUAGAGAUGUGUAGUGAGAUUAGCAGGCUGACUUUCAAAAGCACUGAGCUUCUGCAGCUAUUAUUGACUUUAAUGGAGGGGAGAAUAUCAGACAUUCAGCAGCUCUGAGAACUGGGCUUUAAAUGUUAGUCGAGAUAUGUUUGUUAGCACCACCACCCACUGCACUGUCAAACUGUAAUUGCUAACACUGUAAAUACUUUUGACACUGAGUGCACCUCUUCUUCCCUUUUGAUCUUUUCCAGAUAGCUGUGCUGACACUCCAUUUGAGAAUUAACCCACCAAGGCUUAGUAAUGCUCACUAAGUAAGCCAUAAUUCCCAUCAUCUAAUAUAUCUAGGUUGUCUUGCUUGUUUUGCAUCCGUACAGACCAUGCUAGAGGUUAAACUCACCUACUCUUCUUAUUCUCCUUCAUCUUUUAUUUCAGAACAACCCUAUUUUCCACCUUAUUUUGUAUGUUGCAAGUACUUAUACGAUCGUUUGAGUUAACAAAACUUUCCCCUCUCUUCUGCUCCUACUGAUUUAAAGCAUAAUUAAAGAGGUCUGAAAGGUUUGCACCUAGGAGGUUGAUGCCCCUUCUGCUAAAGUGAAGAUUAUUUAACCCAAAUAGGCUCUCAUCAUGGCAAAUCCCAAUGGGACGUAACCUCCUGGCAGAUUGAGCACCACCCACAUCGAUCUCUAGCUAGGCCCUUAAAGCUAUCAUCACAGAAACCAUUCUAAUGAUCCAUGAAUCCAAAACCCUCCUCUCUUACCCUAAUCAAGAUUUCAAAUGUGGGGCAUGAUUCUUCCUUGCAGCCCACAUCUGCUCUUCUACCUUCUCCCAACAUCUGUCCAUGCAAUAUUCCAAACUUCUUUAUGAAGCCAGAAAGUUAGCCAAAAUUGUUUUUAUCUAAAAUGUGGGAAUAUGAGUGGCAUAUCAUGGCAUUUCUGAGGAGCAAAAUUUGAUGCUAGUUGAACUAUACAAUAUCUGGAUUAAAAUAUGCCAGGUUCAUGAAGACUAAAUUGUAUUAUAUAGAAAACUUAUUGAAAUAAAUGAAAUGCUUAAAUAAAUGAAAGAUAAGGCCAAACACACUAGCUUAUCAGCCUUACUUAUGAAAUGCCCAUGAACUUAACUGAGGGUAGGCAUAUUAACAACAAUGUUGUUCAGGAAAGUGGUUUUUGAAUAGUGGGCCAUCUGGUGAUUUGAUAAAAGUAUUUAGUUUCUCAAGGCAAUCUGAGUGUAUACUCCCUAGGCGCCACCGUUUAUAGACUAAAUUUGACUUGCAUGUGGAUUCAGCAUUACAAAUAAGAAACAGCAGCCGUUGGACAUGUACACUAAUGUAGUCCUUUCAUCACCCAGUUACCCUUAAGCAUCUCCUUUCCUAUUGUAAUUUAGGUUAAAUGCAAAGCAUUAGUCCCAUCAAUAAAAACUAAUGGUUAUACUUAAAAAAAGAGGCUUAUUUAAAAUAAAGCAGAUAAAUAGCUUGCUUUUCCCCUCCCU